GGCGACUGAAGCCAAAGAAAAAUUCAAAUGGUUUUAUAUUUGGCGCCAAAGAUCGUAAGCGUAGAUUACCGAUUAGGUAAACUAAGAGUUGCCAUCCGAGAUGCAGCUUCUUAUCAGCUGUAUGCAGGUAUGCACUGAAAAGCUCUAUUUACCUAUGAUGGCGUAAGGUUGGAUCGACAUAGAUUUCCGCUCUGGGAGCUUAGAUUCUUUUCGAUUCGACCUCCAUAGCAGAAAGACCUGUGCACAUUACCCAGAUAAACCUGCCUAAUCUGCCAACCCACCCAAGGAAGGAAGAAAGAUAGGAACCCUCAGGAGUUACUGGCCUUACUCAGGAAAAUCCCCCUCCACGUGCCUCAUCCAUCGGCCCGGCAUCCAGGUGAAGCAAGCCCUGAGCCGGCCCAGCGAUCAUCAAGUGUCUCGCGGAGCGCCUUAUUUAUCCCAUCGAGGGAUCGGCAACUCCGUGGGCCAGCAGUUUUAGUUGUGACAGUGGGCGAAAAAGCCUAGUGGGAGUGAAAACGUGAAUUUAACCUAAAAUCCCCAAAACCUCGUGCACACUGAGAAAAAUAUAAGUCAAAAAAAAGCUAUAAUGAGAAAAUAUUAAAUAAUAAAGAUUAAUGCUUGCGAGCUACAAAAAAACAAAAAAACGUGAACGAAAAUGUGCAGAAACAAAAAUUAAAAUUUAUUUUUUUUGGGUAUACCAAAAUUUUCUUAAGUGAAAUACACUAAAAACACUGAAGUGAGAAUUCUAAUGAAUAAACCUUAAAGUAUAAUUAAGCUAAAACAGUGCUAAAAAAAAUAAAUAUUAUAAAAGAACUAAAUGCGAAGGUGAAAACGAAAACCUAAAAGAAAAUGUUAAAAGGAAAGAUAAAUAGUUAAAAAUGUUAUAAAUAAAUAAUAAGUUUAAAAAAAAUGGGAAAAUUUAUAUAAAUAAAGUUAAAAUGUGAAAACGUGCGGCAAAGAGAAAUUAGAAAGGCUCCUCGAAAUUUAAAUUGUUAAUUUCUAUUUUUAUUUUUAUUUUUUUUUGAUUUUUUUCUUUUUUUAUUUUUGUUUUGGUUGCUGAGUUUGGUUUGAAAGAGCAAGAAGCACUGAAAGAAAAGCUCUGAUGUGUUACAAAAAAAAAUUUUAAUUAUUUGCGUCUCCGAAUUUCCCGAAAAUUAUGGGAAAAGCCCCCCCCAAAAUUCCGUUUUUCAGCACGCCAGCGCGGGAGAUCGAUCUUUCGUCAUGGAAAUGCAAGUGAGUUUGUUUUCUUAAUUUAUAUUUACUUUUUACAACACAAAAAUUUAACUGCAUGAAAUUAUCAUUUUUUUUGUUGUUGGUGUAAGUUACAUUCUCACUAAAACGAAUUUUGCGAAAUAGAAAGAUGGAAAAAAAAGAAUCAAAGAACGGUUAUAUUUACAGCGAGCUUAUCUUUUAGUCAGCGAGCUUUGGCUACACUGAGAGAAAUUUUGGAAUGAAUUCUAUUUAAUUUAAUAUUAUUGAAAUAAAAAUGAUUAGAGAUUACAGAUGAGAAUGAAAACCUAAAAAUAAUUUAGAUAAAAGAAAAUUUUUAAAUGCACUGGGAAAAAAAUAUGUUUGAAAAUUUUAUAAAGGCUUAAAAAUAAAAAAAAAAAAAAUUAUUUUUCCUUUUUUUUUAAUAUUAAAUGAAUAACGUCAAAUAACAAUAGAAAUUAAAUUUAUUUUUCCGAAUAUUGCCGCCAAGUUAUUGCCACGUUUGGGAUAGGAAUUUAAAUUUUUUUGUUUAAUUUCCUUUUUUUAUUAAUUAAGCCGUUACUUUAACAUUCUUUUUAUAUCUUCUAACAUUAAUACAUUUUUUUUUAAUAUUCCUUUAUAUUUAGUUUUAAUUUAUUGUUAUGAUUACUAUUUUUCUACAUUUUACAACAUUUGAUAUUAAUCUUUGGGUAUAAUUUUCUAUCGCACAAAACAAAAACAUGUAUCUUUUAAUUAUUACCUUUUAUAACGUUUGAAGAAAUAAUAAUAUAAUGAAUAACUAAACUUAUAACUGAACCAUGCUGUUGUUUCUCAGAUCCUAGGAUAUGAAGGGAUCCUCAGAGCCAUGCUCGAGCGGAGAG